CAAUCUACCCCCUGGACUGGGAUAGCCACUGGAAACGGUGGGUAAUACCAGAUGGGCUCACGACGACCCAGGUCGACGUGAGGAAAGGUGGGGAUCCUUCGGGACCUGCCACCGGGGGAGGGGCUCGAGUCCUAUCAGCUUGUUGGUGCGGUGAUGGCGCACCAAGGCGACGACGGGUAGCCGGACUGAGAGGUUGGCCGGCCACACUGGCACUGAGACACUGGCCAGACUCCUACGGGAGGCUGCAGUCGAGAAUCUUCCGCAAUGGGCGAAAGCCUGACGGAGCGACGCCGCGUGGAGGAAGAAGGCCUUCGGGUUGUAAACUCCUGUCAGGGUUUAGGAAACCGGGUGGGGGGAAUAUCCCCAUCCGCUGACAAAGGACCCAAAGGAAGCCACAGCUAACUUCGUGCCAGCAGCUGCGGUAAUACGAAGGUGGCGAGCGUUGUUCGGAUUCACUGGGCAUAAAGGGCGAGUAGGCGGUUCAGCAGGCGGCAUGUGAAAUCCCGGAGCUCAACUCCGGAACUGCAUGCCGAACUGCUGUACUAGAGGACAGGAGGGGGGUGUGGAACUCUAGGUGUAGCGGUGAAAUGCGUAGAUAUCUAGAGGAACGCCGGUGGCGAAAGCGACACCCUGGCCUGUAUCUGACGCUGAGGCGCGAAAGCGUGGGUAGCAAACAGGAUUAGAUACCCUGGUAGUCCACGCCGUAAACGAUGAGCACUAGGUAGCCGUCGGAACCGA
rnacentral:rRNA from 1 species